UACAAGGCAGACGGCUCAGUAACGCGUAGUCAACCUACCCUAUGGACGGGAAUAACCUCGGGAAACUGAGUAUAAUGCCCGAUAGAACACUAUACCUGGAAUGGUUUGUGUUUCAAAUGAUUUAUUGCCAUAGGAUGGGACUGCGGCCUAUCAGUUUGUUGGUGAGGUAAUGGCCCACCAAGACUAUUACAGGUACGGGCUCUGAGAGGAGUGGCCCGGAGAUGGGUACUGAGACACGGACCCAGGCCCUAUGGGGCGCAGCAGGCGAGAAAACUUUGCAAUGUGCGAAAGCACGACAAGGUUAAUCCGAGUGGUUUGUGCUAAACGAACCUUUUGACAGUCCUAGAAACACUGUUGAAUAAGGGGUGGGCAAGUUCUGGUGUCAGCCGCCGCGGUAAAACCAGCGCCUCAAGUGGUCAGGAUGAUUAUUGGGCCUAAAGCAUCCGUAGCCGGCUCAGUAAGUUUUCGGUUAAAUCUGUACGCUCAACGUACAGGCUGCCGGGAAUACUGCAGAGCUAGGGAGUGGGAGAGGUAGACGGUACUCGGGAGGAAGUGGUAAAAUGCUUUGAUCUUUCGAUGACCACUUGUGGCGAAGGCGGUCUACCAGAACACGUCCGACGGUGAGGGAUGAAAGCUGGGGGAGCAAACCGGAUUAGAUACCCGGGUAGUCCCAGCUGUAAACUAUGCAAACUCAGUGAUGCAUUGACUUGUGGUCAAUACAGUGUUGCAGGGAAGCCGUUAAGUUUGCCGCCUGGGAAGUACGUACGCAAGUAUGAAACUUAAAGGAAUUGGCGGGGGAGCACCACAAGGGGUGAAGCCUGCGGUUC
rnacentral:rRNA from 1 species